AGUAAAGCGGCGGACGGGUGAGUAAUGCUUGGGAAUCUACCUAGUAGUGGGGGAUAACGUGUGGAAACGCACGCUAAUACCGCAUACGUCCUACGGGAGAAAGCAGGGGACCUUCGGGCCUUGCGCUAUUAGAUGAGCCUAGGUCGGAUUAGCUAGUUGGUGAGGUAAUGGCUCACCAAGGCUACGAUCCGUAACUGGUCUGAGAGGAUGAUCAGCCACACUGGGACUGAGACACGGCCCAGACUCC
rnacentral:rRNA from 1 species